rnacentral:lncRNA from 1 species
UUUUAAACAAGUUGUCCCUUUGGUCUUCUUUGUAGACCUUGGUAAGCCUUGAAAAGAUCUUGGCGAUCAUGUAAUUCUCUGCCCUUCUUUUACCAGUGAGAAGACUGAGGCCUAGAAGAGGGGAAAGAAGAUUUUCCUGCUUGUCUCCCCACUGGCAUCUCAAGCAGAGCUUACAAAGGGGAUCCCUUGGGGCAAGCUUCCUUCCCCACUGCCAAUAUCACCCUCUAGUUCCUUUCUUGCAGUGGCCAGGCAAUGUCAAAGUCCAUGCCAAGGAGUGUCAACCAGGAACGCAUCUUCUUUCUUGAAAUACGUCGUGAAUCAGCAGGCAGGCCCCUCAAGACCCCAGCGAUGCAGCUUGCUGGGUCCAGCACACAGUAACCCAGAAACAUAUGUGGGCUGA